CCCAAGUUUGUUCGUUCUUUGAUUUCUUUCACAAUUCUUUUACCAAUUUCACUCAUUUCUGCGAUUCUUUUCGUAUACCCUAAUUUCACUGAUUAUAAUCGAAAUCCCCAAUCAUGAGAUUAAUGAAAGGUAGCAAAGUCGAGGUCCUUACCAAGCAGGAGAUUCCAACAGGCGCCUGGCGCUGCGCCGAGAUUAUCUCUGGCAACGGCCGCACUUACAGCAUUAGGUGCGGUUGGUUUCCGGUCACUGGCGAGGCGGGGACGGUGGAGAGAGUCUCUAGGAAAGCGAUUAGGCCUUGUCCUCCUCCGACAAACGGGACCUAUGACUGGGUUCCCAGCGACGUCUUAGAGGUGUUCGACGAGUUGUGUUGGAAACCGGCCGUUGUAGUUUGGGUUUUCGGUGGAAACAAAUUUUCUGUGAGGAUUAUUGGAUCGAGUAGGGAACUGGAAGUACAUCGAUCUCGCCUUCGUGUUCGACAAUCUUGGGAAGAUGGCAAGUGGUUUCUCGUUGGAAAGGGUUCGUCAAAUUCCUCAUCUAAGAGAAAAAGAUCUUCGCUUGGCUUCUCGGAUGAUGGUGGGUGGAAGAAGAGGGCCAUUGAAAAUGGUAGUGUUAAUGGUAAAAGGAUAAUAGUUCGGCUUCCUUCUCCAGCUUUUGAAAAGGUAGAUGCGUUUGUUUCCCCAAAUAAUAUACUGGGUGAAAGAUGCACGCCUUCUUGCCUUUAUAGAAUUGAUAGUUGUGCAUCGUCUGUUGGUAGCUGUAGUGGUUUGGGGAAUAAUGGUCUUAACUUGUCUCCUGCUUAUGUAACAAACGGUUGUGAGAACUUAGAGGAUUAUUGUAGCGAUGCUGACUCUUCUUGUGAAAGGAGAUGUGGAGAAGAAGGUAGUUCUGGUUUCACCAGUGAAGGAAUGGGAAUGGAUUUCCACAGGUUGGAGCUACAUGCCUAUCAGCAAGUCCUUGAGGCAUUGUAUGUUUCUGGUCCUUUGACAUGGGAAGAAGAAGCAAAGAGUAUCUCAUUGUCACUGUUGGAGGCAUUCAUACAUAGCUUCAAAAGCCAUGAUUGGGUUUAAGUUUGGCACCUCUUUCAGUUGACCAAUGGGCAACAUCCAUGGUUUAUUCCCCUAAUGGAUCCCUUAAACCCUGCUUUUGAUGGGUACUUCUGAGCCCCGUCAAAGGACUCCCCGUUUGAAAACCAUCACCUGUCGGUGAGAGUGGUAUUCUGUAAGAGAGAUUCUUGUAUUAUGCAAUAUAUCUGUUUUCUUUAUCAUGGAUUCUACAUGACAAAAGAUCAAUGCUGUGGUUAAAUUGUUGGUUUUCCUCCAUCAUGUACAGUGCAUGAGAACAUGCAGGUAACACAUUCUUUUCCCUAAUCAUUAUCAGCGCUUGAUGCUUAGUGGAACAUUUUAGAUUGAUGUUCGAGUAGAAGUGGUUUAUUAGAAAUUCAGACAUUGGAAUCCUAUUUAUUGUUGUUGCAUGCAGUAUGGACUUUGGUUGCUUCAGUUCAUACCCUUCGGUACUAGGUAGGUUCCUCCUUUACUAUUUUUCUUUUAAGACUUUUGGGUGGCUACCACUUAACUACAUGUUUGAGAAAUAUGAAUGCUUUUGCUAAGGUAUGUUAUCGAAGAGCCUCUUUAUUCUCAUAAUUAUAACAUAAUUUGGUUAAUUGGCCUUCGAUUUAAAUUCAUCCAUGUUUAUUGUUACAUGUGACAUUACAGAUCACAAGGCAGAGACAUGCCGACAGAGGAGACUUAACUGUUGUUUCUGCUGAAGUGAAUUUUCAAUUUGAUACUGGGACUUGUGAAGUCAUG